UGCUCAGGACGAACGCUGGCGGCGUGCCUAAUACAUGCAAGUCGAACGAACUCUGGUAUUGAUUGGUGCUUGCAUCAUGAUUUACAUUUGAGUGAGUGGCGAACUGGUGAGUAACACGUGGGAAACCUGCCCAGAAGCGGGGGAUAACACCUGGAAACAGAUGCUAAUACCGCAUAACAACUUGGACCGCAUGGUCCGAGUUUGAAAGAUGGCUUCGGCUAUCACUUUUGGAUGGUCCCGCGGCGUAUUAGCUAGAUGGUGGGGUAACGGCUCACCAUGGCAAUGAUACGUAGCCGACCUGAGAGGGUAAUCGGCCACAUUGGGACUGAGACACGGCCCAAACUCCUACGGGAGGCAGCAGUAGGGAAUCUUCCACAAUGGACGAAAGUCUGAUGGAGCAACGCCGCGUGAGUGAAGAAGGGUUUCGGCUCGUAAAACUCUGUUGUUAAAGAAGAACAUAUCUGAGAGUAACUGUUCAGGUAUUGACGGUAUUUAACCAGAAAGCCACGGCUAACUACGUGCCAGCAGCCGCGGUAAUACGUAGGUGGCAAGCGUUGUCCGGAUUUAUUGGGCGUAAAGCGAGCGCAGGCGGUUUUUUAAGUCUGAUGUGAAAGCCUUCGGCUCAACCGAAGAAGUGCAUCGGAAACUGGGAAACUUGAGUGCAGAAGAGGACAGUGGAACUCCAUGUGUAGCGGUGAAAUGCGUAGAUAUAUGGAAGAACACCAGUGGCGAAGGCGGCUGUCUGGUCUGUAACUGACGCUGAGGCUCGAAAGUAUGGGUAGCAAACAGGAUUAGAUACCCUGGUAGUCCAUACCGUAAACGAUGAAUGCUAAGUGUUGGAGGGUUUCCGCCCUUCAGUGCUGCAGCUAACGCAUUAAGCAUUCCGCCUGGGGAGUACGGCCGCAAGGCUGAAACUCAAAGGAAUUGACGGGGGCCCGCACAAGCGGUGGAGCAUGUGGUUUAAUUCGAAGCUACGCGAAGAACCUUACCAGGUCUUGACAUACUAUGCAAAUCUAAGAGAUUAGACGUUCCCUUCGGGGACAUGGAUACAGGUGGUGCAUGGUUGUCGUCAGCUCGUGUCGUGAGAUGUUGGGUUAAGUCCCGCAACGAGCGCAACCCUUAUUAUCAGUUGCCAGCAUUAAGUUGGGCACUCUGGUGAGACUGCCGGUGACAAACCGGAGGAAGGUGGGGAUGACGUCAAAUCAUCAUGCCCCUUAUGACCUGGGCUACACACGUGCUACAAUGGAUGGUACAACGAGUUGCGAACUCGCGAGAGUAAGCUAAUCUCUUAAAGCCAUUCUCAGUUCGGAUUGUAGGCUGCAACUCGCCUACAUGAAGUCGGAAUCGCUAGUAAUCGCGGAUCAGCAUGCCGCGGUGAAUACGUUCCCGGGCCUUGUACACACCGCCCGUCACACCAUGAGAGUUUGUAACACCCAAAGUCGGUGGGGUAACCUUUUAGGACCAGCCGCCUAAGUGGGACAGAUGAUUAG
rnacentral:rRNA from 1 species